rnacentral:lncRNA from 10 species
CUCUAAACUCCAUAAACAAUAAUUUUUGAGGAAGUAAGAUUUCUAAGGUUUAUGGAAGUUCUUUUUUGUAAACAGCAGGACAUGAAAUAUAAUACCUGUAGCCAGGCUAACAGGUGGGAUAAUAAAAUGUUUAAUCACCUGCUACUAUUAGGGUCCAAUUCCUUCUAAUCUGUUACAUGUAAAUUAACACUGAUCAUAUUCUUCCUUUACCACAUGUAGGGAAAAUAAUUUUAGGUGAUCAACGUAGAUAACAGCCCUGCUAAGAACUACUUUAAAAGAGAAGAGGGCACUUUAUAAAAAUACAAGAAUUCCAAAAGUCUUAGUGUAAUUUUAAGCUUUGAUACUUGUACAAGUAUCAGUGCUACAAACAUUUACAAAACAUCAUUGGAAAGUUUAUUAUAUUGCUUAUACAUGUAUUUAGUUUUGCAAUUCUUUAAAGGCAUAGGGUCUCACUAUGUUGCCAAGGCUGUAGUGCAAUGGCUAUUUACAGGCACAAUCAUAGAGCACUGCUGCCUCCAAUGCUAGGCCUCAAGUGAUUCUCCCACUUAAGACUCAUGAGUAGCUGGAACUACAGGCAUGCCCAGCUCCUAAAUAUUAAGCUUUUAAUUUUUUGUUUCAGCGUUUCUUGGAGACAGCAGAUAUUGACUGAAACAAAAAGUUAAAAGCUUAAUAUUCAGUUUUUGCAAAAUAAAACCAGAGGUGGUGGUACUACACCUAUAGUCCUAGCUACUUGGUAGGCUGACAUGGGAGGAUUGCUUGAGGCCAGAAUUUCCAGGCUGUGGAGUCAUGAUUGUGCCUCUGAAUAGCCAUUACACUCUAGCCUGGGCAACAUAGUAAGACCCCAUCUUUUAUAAAAAAGAAAAAAUAAAUACUAUGAAACUUUUGAACGGUAUUUUAUAAAGGAUCAUUAUAGUUUAUAAGAAACAUACCAUGGACCCUAAUACAAGUAGGUAACCAAUAACUAAUAGUUUUUCUUUUGUGACCCCAAACAUGCUAAAAUGCUAGCAAGUAAUGCUUACAAAAGAUAUGAAUGGCAAAUGAACUCCAUCAGCUUUUGUUUAAAAUGAUUGCCAGUGACGAGCAGCUCCGAUGGUAAAAGUAGGCAGGUAGAACCCUUCAACACCUGAAAAUGAGCGGUCUGCUUCUAGUGGCUUCAUGAGUUAUUACAGUCCCAUGUUUUAAUAGUAAUACUGCAUUUAUUUUAAAUGUGUCUGCAGCAAUAUUGGGGGAAAAGAAAAAUAGAAAAGAA